UACUUGUUUUCUGUUUGUAUUUUUCUAGAGGCUUUAUAUGGAGCUCAUGCCAGCGGCUGACUGCACGUGCAUUGUAAAUGUGGUGUUGUACUCGUUUUCUGAGACUGCCGGAACGUAUGACGAGUAUGGACCGGUGAGCUGUGCGCUCAUUGGGAGCAAGGCGAACGACACAACUUUUAAGCUUGGCUGCUAUCGUGACAACAAAUACAUCUGCACCGCAACUAUAUCGCCGAGCAAUGAUGCUGGAGCUCACAUCGCUCGUGACGGCGCGUACGUCACAUUUCGUGAUGAGAAAAGUCACUACUGGUCUUUGCAGUUUGCUGCAGAGGAUGCCGCCAUUGAAUUCUGUGCGCAGGUUGCAGUCGCCAUGUUUGGCGCGGCCGGCGAACCGACGGACAGCAUCCUCUCCUGUGAUGUUGUGAAGGGCAAGGAGAACAAGCAGAUCUUUGUCGGCGACCUCGUCAAGGCCCUCUACCGUGUAUGGGUGGUGCAGUCUAGCGACUCCAGCGACGGACUACCGCGUCUUGGCAGCUUGCUGGAGAAGGAGAGCGAGGAUGCUGUGAAAUUCACGGCGCCAGCCAGCCAUCAAUGUGUGAUGGCGUCGAUGCGGGGCUUCGAGGGCAUGACAGUUGGUAUGAGAGAAGGAGGGCAACGCCUCAUGGUGAUCCCUCUCAGAGCAAAACGUGGACGCGGGCCAAAUGUCAACAUGUGCUUUUAUGUUGAGGUUAUUCGCCGCAAGGAUCAGCAAACCUCAACAUCCCAGUCCCACAGAAGCGCCAAGGAGAGAGGUCAGCUGCUUUUGACCGGGGGUGAUGGUGGAACGGCUACGGGCUCGCCGGCGCAGCCUCUCGCCAUAAACUCUGGCUUCGCAGAUGGACACUCGGCGAUGAUGGCAAGCGGCUUCAGCAAGGAGCAGUUUUUGCUGGUGGACAGGCUGCGCGAUCAGGUGUUUACUCUCACACAGCAGCUGCGUGACACUCGCCGCGAGCUGGACAGCCUUUGCGCUGACCUGAAACGUCACGAGCGCCAGUCUGGAACGCAGAGCUUGACGAGGGCACAAAUCGAGUACUCGAUCGAGCACCUUCUUGCCGAGGGUGACACUAAGAAAAAGGUAUUGGAGGACAAGAGAGCCCUCAUUGGUGAAACAGAGGCACGAAAUCAAGUGUUGGAGGCGCGGCUCGCCAAGUUUCUGCAGACGACGAAAACAUUGGGGGAGGAGGCGAAGGCGGCUCUUGAUGAUAGCGCCGGCGAGCGCAUCGAGCUGGAUCGGCAGCUUGCUGACACGCAGGCGCGAAUUGUUCGGCUCAAUGGUGAGAUAGAGGAUUUGGGUCGACUCCUCUGCUGUCUCGAAGAUACUUUUCGCUUGACAGCCUUAAAAGUGAAGGAAGAAAAGCUGCGUCUGACGCUCUCCAUCACAGAUCAUGAGAAGCACGAGGAGAGGCUGCUGAGGCUCCAGGAGAAAUACAGUGAAGAGGUAGCCAGGCGCAAGCUCUUAGAGUCAAAAUUGGCACCCUUACAAGAGGAGCUGCGCAAUCUUGAGGACGAUAUGCAGCUCAAGGAGUCACUGACGCAGCAGAUUAGAGCAAAGACGGAGAGCGACAGAACGCACUACGCCCAGCUUAUACAGCAGGAGCGAGAGCAGGCGGCGAUUGAACUAAGGCAGCUCAAGCAGGACCUCAUUGAAGAGUUGGCCGCACGUGAUCGGCAGUAUGAAGAAGCAAAGGAGAGGGUUUCGACGGAAGCCUACGAGCAAGGCAUGGCACAGGGCGUGGAGGAGGGGCUUGCGGACGCUGCCAACGAAGGGGAUGUGAUUGCGCACGACAUGGCGGUGAACGCGCAGCGAUGCAAGGCUGAGGCAGCGGCGUUGCAGGUGCGUGUGCAGGCUAACUGCGCCGCAAACGAGGCGGAUGAGCGCCGUCUCACCUCUGAGAUAGAGUCCCUCCAAACUUCAUUGGCGCGAGUCCUUCAUGACAACAACACCCUCUCGACCCAGCUUGAAGCGGCGCAAGAGGAGCACGCUGUCAAGGUCGGUGAGGUGUACCAGCGGCUCGUUCGCCUCAUCCGCUUGUGUGGAGCCGCCUCAAUCAGUCAGCCCUGCUUGGCAGCAAUGAUGCGGGCUGCCGAGUCCGGGGCAGAGUUUGAUCCCUUCCGCUUCCAGCAGAUGGAGAGCGCGAGGGAAGCGCAGCUGGCGCGAGACGAACGGGCUGCUGUGGCGGCAUGGGUGCGAGCAAGCGUGUACAAUCAACCCACCUACAUGCCACCGCUCCGUCCACCGUUCCCCUAUGCCCCGAUGAGCAAAGGUCCCGUACUUUCCGCAGAGACCAUGGGAACCAAGGUGUUACUGAACCCAGCAGUGCAUCACCGCCUUCCAGUUUUGACGGAGACAACUACAUCCAUCACGGCAGAAACGCCAGCGCCGAUUCCGUCAGCAACGCCGGCGGCUCCUGGGGAGGUAGAGUCCGUCAUUCCUGCGCCUUCGCUUGCGUUGCCGCCGGCUCCAGUAGCCCCUGCCCAACCCGCUGAGGUGGCAGAGUCUCAGCAAAGCGAGCCGCAGGACACGGCGGCUAUUCAAAAGGCGUCACCACGACAGCGCGUCAAGUUUCCUUCGACGAAGAUCCGAUACUUAGGUGACAGCGGUGCAGCCGGGGGAACGGAGGCCACUGCGCAUCAGCGGCAACCUUCUUUCUAGGACUUGUUCGCUUGCGUGAACAUCUCUCACAACCUCAAACAACCCCGUUUAAACAGGAGUAAACGGGGAAACAAAAAGCGCGUCGCUUUUAGAACGCACUGCACCCACUUGUAGCUAGUGGUCAGCUUUCCUUUCCCUUUUUCUCUUUGCUCAUCUGUAAGUUGCUCUUCUUUGGUGUACUUCCGGUGUCUCUUUUUUCACUGUUUUCCAGGUGAUUACUCACCUUUUCUCGGAGUCGCUGAUUAUUGUGAGCUCAAUCUCUCCCUGUGUGUGCGCAACCUGAGUAUCUCUCAGAAG
rnacentral:misc_RNA from 1 species